CUCUGGCUUCCCCAGGAGCCCCGCCUGAGCGGACUCGCUGUGGGAAGCGCACGGAGGGGCAGAGGAUGCUGAAUGCUCCAAGGUCAGACCCAGGAAGGUGGACGCUGUGUGACCUGUGUGUCCUGAAGAGAGGCUGCUCACAGAAAGGAGACUUCCCCAGAGUCCUGACUGGCUUCAUGGGGAGCAGAUCUAGAGCAUCGCCCGGGGACUCCGUGACAUAAGCCUAAUAGAUUAAGAAACUGAAUACAGGCUUAAGAUAGAUUCCAGUAUCAGGUGACAUGGUCACAUGUCACUGUAAGACCUCCUUCUUCAUUACCCACAGGCUGGUGCCCAUGUCCACAAGAAGGCUUUCAGGUUUCUGUCACCCUCCUCUCUCUGCAGUGAGGUCCCCCAGCCCCUUUUCUCUCCCAAUGUCCCCUCGUGGUGGGUUCAGCCGACGAAGGCGAGUGAGAAGUUCAGGCAGCGUCAGGAGAACCUGGACGAAUGAACGUUGGGGGGAAAGUUGGCGAGACACAAAGAUGGGAUUCGUCCAACCCGAGCGGCCGCCGGACAGAAGCCACGGGCCGGGCUGGGGCCCGCCUGGGACUUGAGAGAAGUGGGGGAGCAGAAAUCCGUGACCCAAAAUUGGGGUGUCAGAAACGGACUGUGCCACCCACCACCCUUUGGGGCCUUAAAGAAAGAGACUCGCUUCACCCUCCUGGCUGCCACCCCCCGUCUCCUGGGCCCCCCGGGCCAUCCGGACCCUGCUCCGUGGAGACGUCCUGAGCAGAGCAGUCGGAGAGAGGGACCCCGACGCCAUCGCCCCUCCCCCAGCUGAACCCCCAACCUGGGAGGAAACGGGGUCGGACUUUCACAGCAGCCGCGGCGACGCCAGCUCCAGCCCAGCGAUGCCGGCUCCUCUGCCCCCCAGGACAGUCGCUAGCGUCUCCGGGGCCAGCGGGGAGACGCCCAAACCUGGGGGAUUUUCCGGCUAGAGACUCGCUCCAGUGAAUGGGGCCGGGGCCGGGGCUGGAACAAACCCCUCGUUUCACACGGCGCCUGCCACGGCUCCCUGGUUCCUUCUUUGCUGGGUCUGUAACAGCCGGUCCCAGGGGUCACUGGGGGGUUUGCCGUGGGGCUGAGCAGGCUGCGGGCUCUGGACCCGGCCCGUGUUUCACCCUGUUCAGUGUGGGGCAGGGGCUAGGGCGUGUUCGCACCU